AAAGCAUAAGAAAUUCUCGGAAUUGUAAUUCCAUGUGUUGAUCUCAGCAUCGUCACCAAACUUCAAUUCCUGGGUUUCUUGGAAAUUAAAAGCCAAUAACAACCUCAGCUCGCAGGGAGAGGAACACAGAUCAACUUAGAUUGAUGGACAGGUGUAGAGGGCAAGUCUAUCCUUUGAUGACUGCAAGGGUUCGCUUGCCUGUGUGAAUGAGCCAUUCGAUACCAGACAAGAUUGAUACACCUUUCCUAUCAUCUCAGAGCAAUGUUUACCCCCCAAUGGAUUUGGUACACACAUUCAAUCAGGGUGGGGUGGGUGGGUGGUUGAGUCACCCGUCAAAAGAACUCAAGUGAUGCCGCCUUGAGUAAUAAUACUACAUAGGUAUCAGAAAGGUGACGUAUAAAUCCUUUAUAAUAAAUAAAGUGUGUGUUGUCUGAAUGAUGCAAAGGUGAUUUUGCAGUGAGGAGCGAACAACUUCACCGUAGGCAAUCAUCUCAGCCGUCCGUGUGAAAUUCUUGUGAAGUGGGACAGAGUUUGCCGAGAAGCUGACAGUUGCCUUAAUUUUAGUGGACAAACUCCUGUGUCUUUAAGAGCUUCACGACACUCAAGAAAUGCAUAGCUGAAGUUUUCCCCGCAUUGCUGCAUCUCUAGGGACAGGGUCUCCUGCUGGAGCGUUUUGCCUCUUGUACUGCAAUGGAUGAAGACACAGGUGGUUGCCCAUACAGAAAGGAGCAAUAGUUGCUGGGGCCAUGAUUCCUAGUCCACUGGCACUUUCUUGAUGUGUGAGAAGUCCACUCACACCCUGCAAUCCUUU